rnacentral:rRNA from 1 species
UUUGAACGAUGGCGGCCGGCCUAACACAUGCAAGUUGAACGAGUGGCGGACGGGUGUGUAAUGUCUGGGAAACUGCCCGAUGGAGGGGGAUAACUACUGGAAACGGUAGCUAAUACCGCAUACCAUCGGAUGUGCCCAGCUGGGCUUAGCUAGUAGGUGGGGUAACGGCGCACCUACGCGACGAUCCCUAGCUGGUCUGAGAGGAUGACCAGCCACACUUAGAUAGAGACAAGGUCCAGACUCCGACGGGGGGCAGCAGGGGGGGAUAUUACCAAGUGGGCAAAAGCCUAAUGCCGCCCUGCCGGGUGUAUUAAGAAGGCCUGUGGGUUGUAAAAUACUUUCAGCGAGGAGGCGUUACUCGCAUAAGAAGCACCGGCUAACUCCGUGCCAGCAGCCGCGGUAAUUC